rnacentral:tRNA from 1 species
UCCCGCGUAGCUCAGUGGCAGAGCGUCCGACUGUUAAUCGGAUGGUCGCUGGUUCGAAUCCAGCCGCGGGAG